AUGAUGUUUGUUUAAUCGACCUGCACGAGGUCAUUAAGGUUGCCGUUUUUCCAAAACAGGAUGGCAACCAUUUCAAGUUUGCCAGUCAUCUCUUAGCCACUCUGAAAAAGUGCUUGGACGACCUUAAAUCUCCAGACCAACUAUUAUUCAGCAUGACCAGCUAUAACCUCGAAGUGGAGUGUAGCUGCUGUUUUGGUAAAGAAGAAAGGAAAUGUUCUCGUCAUCAUGAGAUCCAGUGUCAUUCAGACCGUUGUGGGCACCGCCACUUCUGGAAGCUACGUGACCUUCAAAGAUUCUACAACGAUAAAUCCCCUGCAGUUUGUCGGUUGGACAAACGCUCGUCCAAGGUGUUUGACAUAAAGAAUGUAAAAAUUUGGCUCAAUACUG